rnacentral:rRNA from 1 species
AGCCCUAAACACAAAUAAUUAUAAAAACAAAAUUAUUCGCCAGAGUACUACCGGCAACAGCCCGAAACUCAAGGACUUGGCGGUGCUUUAUACCCUUCUAGAGGAGCCUGUUCUAUAAUCGAUAAACCCCGAUAAACCUCACCAAUCCUUGCUAAUACAGUCUAUAUACCGCCAUUUUCGGCAAACCCUAAAAAAGGGACUAAAGUAAGCUCAAUAGUAACACAUAAAGACGUUAGGUCAAGGUGUAACCUAUGGAGUGGGAAGAAAUGGGCUACAUUUUCUACCCAAGAAAAUUUAAUACGAAAGCCAUUAUGAAAUUAAUAGCCAAAGGCGGAUUUAGCAGUAAACUAAGCAUAGAGUGCUUAGUUGCAUCAGGCCAUGAUGCACG